AAGGUUUUUGCGGAGUUUGUCAGUGUGUUUCACACACUCUGUAGAGCGAGGCACUUGAAGAGGCUGUUAGCUUCAGGAUUGUUUCUUGACACGGGUUGUUAUGCGAAACCAUAAGCUGGAUUCUCCCGUUCCAUCAAAACAGAUGUUACCACCAUCCCAAGGACAAGUCUGGUGAAUGUACAUGGAAAUAACAUAUCUGCUGAGAUAAGGAGACCCAAACUGCACACAGGACUGCAGACUCUCUGGCUGUGCUCCCCUGCCACCAUUAGGAUCAGAGAAGCAAGAAACACCAGACUGAGUCACUGACUGAAUGCAUGCCCCAAACAGACAGGGCACAGCGAUGGAGAUCCUCACCACUCUCCUGCUGCUCGGGCAAAUAAUAAUUCUACAAAUACGAGAAGGUAUGUUGAGUCCCAGUUUGGCUCCACCACAUGACAUAUUGAUGAAAUCCACGGUGUCAGUACUCAAGCCAAUUUUUACAUAACGAAUAACAAAGUAUUGUGGAUGCAGGAGAUCUGAAACAACACCGAGAGUGCUGGAGAAACUCAGCAGGUCUGACAGCAUCUGUGGA